CGACAACCUAAUUAUACAUUUUGAACACAUUCGAAGACUCCAACAAUAAAUUUUUCUAAAAUAAUUCAGUUCAACUGAUGAAUUACUUCUGUUUUCAAAGUCCUUGCAAGUUGUAACGCCCCCUUCCCUACACUAAACCCCCUUCAAACUCUCAAUAAUAACAAAAGCUCAAAUAUUUCUAGAUCAUCACACCAUUGUCUUCACUGAGUCCCUUCUGGACUCCAAUACUCUUUCUCAGUUACCCUUCAAAUCUAGGGUUUCAUCUACUUUUUACCCUUUUUUUUUCUUGAUUUGCUUUCAUAUGGUUCAAGGACUGUAAAAGUCUGUGCAACUCUGGAUUUUCUGCAUUUUCAGAAUAAGCUUUAUUCAAGCUCUAAUGUGGGUUCUGUACGGUUCAUCAGGUUCAAGAUUUUACCUUAAUGGGUUUUUCUUUUUUUAAAUUUUAUUUUCUGCUACUUUAAGAGCUGAAGUGUUUCCAUUUUCUUCAAUGUAUAUACUUUUUCUGUAAUUGAUCAAAAACCCGUGUGAAGAUAUUCAUUUUUGUAAUAAAGAGAAAUCAAAAUUCUCUUUCGGGGGCGUUGCCCCCGACCCCCCACGAGGGGCGCUGCCCCCUCGACCUGACCGGGCAGGUCGAUCCCCGUUUGUGCGCCCUGAAGCGGCG
rnacentral:lncRNA from 1 species